GAUGAACGCUGGCGGCGUGCUUAACACAUGCAAGUCGAACGAAGCACCUUGAUUUGAUUCUUCGGAUGAAGAUCUUGGUGACUGAGUGGCGGACGGGUGAGUAACGCGUGGGUAACCUGCCUCAUACAGGGGGAUAACAGUUAGAAAUGACUGCUAAUACCGCAUAAGACCACAGCACCGCAUGGUGCAGGGGGUAAAAACUCCGGUGGUAUGAGAUGGACCCCGCGUCUGAUUAGGUAGUUGGUGGGUAACGGC
rnacentral:rRNA from 1 species